CAAAUCCAAUCUGGCAAAGCCACCCCAGCAAUUCCGCCCCAGCAAAGCCACCCCAAAAAAAGUCAUCCCAAAAAAAGCCUCCUCAAAAAAAAAACCACUGCGGCAAAGCCACCCCAGGAAAAGCCACCCUGGCAACUCCACACUGCGGCAAUGCCACCCUGGGCAAGCCAGCACAGAAAUGCCACCCUGGCAGAGGCACCCUGAGAAAGCCACCCCAGCAAAUCCAUCCUGGCAAAUCCAUUCCAGCAAAUCCAUCCUGGCAAAUCCAUUCCAGCAAUUCCACCCUGGCAAAGCCACUGCAGCAAAGCCACCCCGGAAAUUUCAUCCUGGCAAAGCCACCCUGGCAUUUCUGCCCUGGCAAUGCCACCCUGGCAAAGCCGUGAUGGAAAAGAUACCUCACAAGUGCCAUCCCAAAAAAAAUCACUGCGGCAAAGCUACCCUGGCAACUUCAGUCUGGAAAUGCCACCCUGGAAAUGCCACCCUGCCAAUGCCGCUGCAGCAAAGCCACUGCUGGCAAUGCCACCCUGGCAACUCCACUCUGGAAAAGCCAAUCUGGCAAUGCCACCCUGGCAAUGCCACUGCAGCAAAGCCACCCCAGCAAUGCCACUCUAGCAAAGCCACUGCAGCAAAGCCACUGUGGCAAUGCCAACCUGGCAAAGCCACUCCAUCAAGCCUGGCAAUGCCACCCCAUCCAAUCCACCCUGGCAAUGCCAGCCUGGCAAAGCCACUGCAGCAAAGCCACCGUGGCAAUGCCACCCCAGCGAUUCUGCCCUGGCAAUGCCAUCCUGGCAAUGCCACCCUGGCAAAGCCACCCCAUCAAUGCCACCCUGGCAAAGCCAUCCAAUCCAUCCUGGCAAAGCCACUGUGGCAAUUCUGCCCCGGAAAAGCCACCCUGGCAAAGCCAUCCCAUCAAAUCAACCCUGGCAAAGCUGCCCCAGCAAUGCCACCCCACCAAAUUCACCCUGGCAAAGCCACCGCAGCAAUGCCACCCUGGCAAUGCCACUUUGGCAAUUCUGCCCUGGCAAAGCCACCCCAUCAAAUCUACCCUGGCAAAGCCACUGCAGCAAAGCCACCCUACCAAAGCCACUCCAGCAAUGCCACCCUGGCAAUGCCACCCCAGCCAUGCCACCCCAGCAAUUCUGCCCCGGCAAAGCCACCCCACCAAAUCCACCCUGCCAAAGCCACCCCAGCCAUGCCACCAUGCCAACCUUCCCCUGCCACAUCCCCCCAGCAAAUCCCCCUUGGCAAAUCCCCCCUGGCAACCCCUUUUGGGCACC
rnacentral:lncRNA from 1 species